GGAGUGUUCGUUUCCGGCAUUCUGUUGGCUCUUUCUGAGUUUACACAUGUUACUUUGUGGGAGUAGGGAGUUAAGGUGCUACCUUAUUUUGUUUUAAACAGGCGAGAAUAAGGCGGUGGUGUUAGAAAUCAGAGUAAGUUCUGUGACUUUGAGGUUAUUACCCCCUACCUCAGUGGUUAAUAUUGGUUUAAAUAGAACCCCAGUAAUGGGUGACUAGCUAUGAUGGAAAAGAGGAGGAGAAAAUAAAGUGCCAGCAUCUGCGGUUAAACUUUGCCUCCGUGCUAAUAGGGGUUCGUGGUGAGAUAUCAAAGAAAUCAAGACCUAAUCCUUUUCUAGUUCGGUGAAAUGAUUAGAUUGAGGUUGUUUGAGGGUCUUUACUUUGUCUGUCUGUGAGGCUGUUUGUUAGACGGGGAUUAGAUACCCCCUUAUUUAUGCUGUAUUAUGAAGCCAUGGGUAGUACGGGCGUUUGUUUAAAAUCCAAGGAAAUUGGCGGUGACCUUAUAUCAUGUGAGGGGAACUUGGCGGUUAAUCCGAUAGUCCUCGUGGACCUUACCUUCUGUUUUCUUAGCCUACCGCCGUUGUCAGUAACUUUUUUGUUAAUACAGAGGGUUGCCAGGAGUAUGUGUUUAUUUUAAGGCCUACUUGAAUUCAGGUAAGGGUGCUGGUUAUCAGAAGGGCUUAGCUGAGUUACAAUUAUUAAGUAAUACGGAAGUAAUUUUGAAAUAGGGUUACGGAAGGUGUACUUCAUAGUAAUUUUUUAUAAUGAGGAAAGAUGAAUCGGCUCUGGGUUGUGUACAAAUCGCCCGGCGCCCCUGUAUAACCAAGUCUGGGUAAGUCGUAACAGAGUAAUACUAUCGUAAGUUGGCUUUAUAGAAU
rnacentral:ncRNA from 1 species